UCUAGUACCGGAUGUGACACAUUCUAGUAUGAUGAAUUUGGACAUACGUAGAAUAUGUCACAUCCGGUCA
rnacentral:misc_RNA from 1 species